AUUGUUGCUCAUGAAUUGGAGAUAAGUUGCUAUCUACAAUUAUAUUUAUCUAUGGUACUUUAAAUUGAGCAUACAGCUUAACCUCUACAUGCAAAUUACUAUAUGUGCAUAUAAUUCCAUGUCAACAUUUUUCUGUGUGGGAGUUUUCCCGGGUGAACAAUUUUCCAUGUGAGUAUUUUUCAAUGUGAGCAAUUUUCUGUGUGGCCAUUUUUCUUGUAUGCAUUUAUG